GGCGAUUGCUCAGUAUGGAGAGCACCUGCCUUCAGCAGGGUGUCACUGGUUCGAGCCCGGUAUCGCCACCA
rnacentral:tRNA from 1 species